GUUACAGACAAGGGAACUAAAUAUAGUCUGAGCCGGGCAACAACAUGCACAUGUAAAUCUCACAGACGUUGGCUCACUCUAUAGAAUCUCCAGUUGUACACUGUCCUUCUGUCAGCUGUUAACUAAUCGUGAUUGUUUGGUUGUGGCAUGAUUCACGUCUGCGCAAGAAGGGUGGACCAAGACUGAUAUGACUCUGGACCAACAGUUCACUGAGUGUGGAUGACCAGUGACAGUUUAUGUAUGAUCCAUGGCAUGGAAUGUGACAUAAACACCUAAAAUGAGUGGGUACUACAGAGAUACAAAGAUUUGACAUUGACAUUGUAGUUUUACCUGCCUUUUGAGGGCAGACUGUUGUAAUUUAAGGUCAUGGGACUGUCAGAUAAAUCUGUGAUUGGCCGAGGCCUGAACAGUCCUGACCCAUUGGUGCGUGAGGCAUACCUGAUGGCAUAUGACUAUAUCAACUAUGUGACGGCCAAACCAGGCAUCCCGGUGGGUCCAGCACCAUCCCGUGCAACGGCCGCCCUGCGUCACGCUGGAGAUGAACUGCUCACUCGCUUCCCCAUCUUCUUUCGCCGCUGGCCACGUGUUUUCCAGGACGUGACGGACCGAACGGCCUGCUCGACCCUCGUUUCCAUUCUGGAUGAGCACUUUGCACCCACACGACGUAGAGACCUCGCCUGGAGCGCUGUGCUGUCCGUGUUUGUUCUUUCUGGACAGCUGGCACUGCAUUGCCAGGAGCGGGGCAUGUCUGAUAUCCUGCCACAGAUUCAGGAGUGCGUGGGCAGCUACGUUGAGAGGGUCAUCUGCCCGGAGAUCAGAGACAGAGGAGGAUGGUCUCUCCAGGGAAGUGCUGGCAGGAUAUGAGCUCUGAUGGUAAUGCAAGUGGACUGUCCCACCCCCUCUGCUCUUCUCUGCAGUCAAUGCUGAUGAGGCCCUGGAGACGUGGACAGAAGAACACAGAUGUAUGCAGAUAUAGUCACUGAUGCAGUGAUACACAAGACUGGAGAUAAAUAGCAUGCUGGUGAAACUGGUUUUUCUUACUGUAAAGUGCAAUCGCUCUGAUGCAUCGAGGCAUGGGCUCCACAAGACAUCCGAAAUGGUCCAGGGAUCUCUGAGACAAGACAGUCUGCAACAAUCUUUAGGUAGGUGUAUUCAGAUUAAAGGCAUUCUGAUUUUACUCUAAACAAAAUUAGGGUUGCUGAACUUACCUUGUUAAUUUACUGUUGUGACAUGAGCCACAUUUACCACUGUGGUGGCUCAAACAGUGACGUGUAGAUGUAGAGAGUCAUGCACAACAUAAAACAGAGAAGAGCGAUGUUAGAAUCAUUUGUUUUUAAAAUAACUGCUCACAAAAUACAAAGAAAACAAAACUACUGUCAUUAUUUGUCUGUUUGUCUGUCUACAUUUAUGCCUUAUAUUUACACAUUUGCAUUUAGCAGAUGCUUUUAUCCAAAGCGACCUAGAGGAGCAUGAACAAUGUAUAACAGAGGCAAUAAUAUUCACAGUAUACAAUGAAAGUUAAUUAGAAAGCUAGAUUGGUGGCAAUGCAUGUUGCAAAUAUUGUUGGCUCUGUGACAUGUAAGGCAUAAAUGUAAAUGUAAAGCAUAAAUGUAGACACUAUCUCUCUAUCUACAAGCAACCAUGUGCAAUGUUACUGAACUUACGGUGUUAAUUUAUUGGUGUUUAUUGGUGUCACUCACUGAGGUGACUCUAACAGCAGCAUGUGGACAGGAAGAGUAAUGCACAACAGAGGUUGUUAAGAAAUAUGGUUCUGUAUGUUUCUGUAAUAUUAAUUUCAGCAUUAUUGUAUGUACAUCUGCAGGGUUGCCAACACUGAAGUUCAGUUUGGAGUGAGAUUUUUUUGUUUUUUGUUUUGGAGUGUGGGGUUGGGUUGGGGGUGGCGAUCUCGAUUCCAUAUCUAUUUAUAUGUAUACACUGUACAUAUAAGGGGAUAAAAAUGCACCUAAGUGCUUUUUUUAAAGCACCAUUUUAAAGUUGGUUUAAAAUCCAUAUUUGCUUGCAUUCAUUGUGUGUACUUAUGAGUAUCAUUAAAAAAAGAAUGUAAGUUAUUAACUUUUUAAAUUUCACAUUUAAAAAUAUAGUGUUUAAUCAUUUCUAAAUAUUUAUUCAAAUGAAAAACUUAAAAAUAAGUAAGCAGGUAUGACCUGCAAUAUUCUAGAUACACAUAUAUUUAGUAAAGAGCCAUACAGGUACCUAGUGGGUAAACCAUGGCAUUACAAAUGAAAAUGAUGUUUUUCCCCGAUCACAAAAUGACUCUAAUUUGCCUCUUUGCAUUGGAAUUUAAAACCCUUUUCUCUAUUUAAGCUUAAAUACUACACUAAUUGUAAUAUAAGUUAUAGAAAUAUAAAAUAAUAUAUAUAUUUUAAGUCAUUAAUGGACCAUAUUUAUUAGACAAAUAGUAUUUAGUACUAAAUGAUCUCCUUAAAAUAUUAAAAAUUAUUGAACUAAAAUAUAGAACUUUUUUUUUAAUUGAAAAAUAGUUAAGCUGUAUGGUCACAUAAUAAGUAAGCAAUACCUGAGGGUCAAAUACAAGAAAACCAUAUUAAUCUUACGAAAAUUAACCAUGGUUUUAUUAUAGUAAAAGUGUAGUAACCAUUUUUUGGCGCAUUGAUUACCAUUUGUAUAACCAUAGUUUUACUACAAAUACCAUGGUUAAACUAUGGUUAGUGUAGCAAGACCAUGGGUAAUUUGUGGUUACCAUGGUUUAAAUAGUAACCAUGUUGUUGUUGUUUUUUGUUUUUUUGUUUUGUUUUGUUUGUAGUUUUGUAGUAAAACCAUGGUCGAUUUUCGUAAGGGUUGCCUCUCCAUCACUCUCUAGAAUAAAAUUGUACUGUAAAUGUCAUCGACGUAAAAAUCAAUGCAUAAUAUACUGUAAUGUUUACCAAAUUUGCUGCAAAUACCUGUAUAGUGAAGCUGUCGUCUCUAAUGUUGGUUUGUUUGGAGAGCUCUGUGAAUCACGCGACCGCGUGGUGGCGAUGCUUAAAAAUUCCUAUUUUAAGUGCAAGUAUUAGCAUUAUAAAUGCUGAAUUAAUACGAACAUGUAAAAUUAAAUUAAGGACAUGCAUCAAAAAAUUGGUAAUGUUAGACAAUAAAUAUAUAUAACAGCUUCGCAGUAAACUGUUUUUGCAGUGUUGUCUUAUAUUAAUGUCCGUUAAAGGGGUCAUCGGAUGCUAAGUUCAUGUUGUUUGAACAUUAAUGUGUGUUGGCAGUGUAUGUACAAAUGUACCCUAUAAUGAUAAAAAUCCAUGCAGUGGUUUUUUAAUUAAUCUGUAAAUAUAAUAUUCCCUUUUUCAAAUCAAGCCAUUCUCAGAUGCCUGUCGGUGUGGCGUCACAUCCACAGAGGCCGCUCCCACGAUAGUUGAUUGACAUGAGCGUCUUACCUCAGAUCAGCUGUAACAGUCCGACCUUCAUUGUUUUAAUGCCAGAGCAGGGAUGUAAAUUAGACAAGAAUAUCUCCGAUUGACAGUUGAGAUGUUGUGUUGCUGGAUGUAAUAAUGAACAUAGUGGUUGUCAUUUACUCCCGACAUCUGAGCUGCUGAAGAUGCAGUAGAUUACGUUUGUUUGUGAAGGGAAUGGGCCUCCCGAUCUACAUAUAUCCGUCUAUGUUCGCGUGAAUCAUUCAUGAUCCAGCUUCACUUACAGCAGGAGUGAGUAUAAGGGUUUUUUUAUGAAUCUUUGCGAUCGCCUUUCCUAAUAACGUGCUAGUUAGCAAGUUUAGCGGCUAAAUGCGGCUAAAGUAAACAGGCUCGUCAGUCCACAGAGAGAAGAGAGGGGCAGGGCGAGCAGAACUCAUUAACAUUUAAAGCAGCCUCGACCAGAAUGGGUUGAUUUUUGCAGAGCUCAUUUUGACAAGGUAAAAAGGGUGUUGUUUUACACUACCAUUGAGAAUUUUUAACCAAAGUAUAUUAGAGACUUUUCAUUAAGACCCUAAAGAAUCAUAUCAACGUGUGGAAAAUGGGCAUCCGAUGACCCCUUUAAAGCAUGACUGUAAUUCUGUAAACAAAAAAUUGUUGAUGUAAAAAAAAUAAAGACAUAGCCACUGUCUCCAAAAUGAUUUAUUCAGUUAUGACAGACACAGCAAUGCAUCAUGUUCUGCAAGAUCAUCAUGUUUGUAGUGUGUUCCAGGGAAUUAAAAUGUAGCCUACAAUAUAAUACGAUAUAAUAUUAAUACAAUAUAUAUUUCAGACCUAUAAUAGUAACUAAUAAUAAUGACAGUAAUGUGUAAGGCUGCAUAAAAUGAAAAUAUUCAAUAAAACAGGCUAAAACUGCCUCAAUGUAUAAUUAAUGGUUGGAUUCCAGAACUGAUAACAUAAAACACAUAUAAUAAUACAAUACAACAUUUACUGUAGUAGUCAUAAAAUUUACUGAUUUGAGAAAUUUUGUAUUGCCCUUCAGAUUUGGCAGUGAGAUUCGCCAAUUUUGACAUCUCUUUCGUUGUCAUUCUGUCUGCUUCUGUGCUGUUGUCCAGUUGGCAUUUUCACCCCAAAAUGGCGGACGAAGCACCACCUAGUGGCUGUUACCAAAAAAUCAUCAGAGUUUUGCCUCUUGGUAUUCUAUACUCAAGUUCCAGGCACUGAUAUAGACAUUCAGUGAUACAACUUUUUUUUUUAAUAUCAUGUGUGUUUUGUAUUGGCCUCUUUAAAUGAAUAUUAUUCUAUCAAACAGCUAUAUACUCAAGUCAUGCCUGGCAACUGACAAAUUUCUAUUCAAUAUCAUUAGAAUACAUAACAAUUAAGGUAAUAAUUAACAAUAAAUAAGCAUUUUGGAGACCACAGAUUUAUUAGCAAACUAAUGAGGCCUAUGUAAAACAGUGGAGAUACUAUAGGUGUAUUAUGGUUUUACACAUGAAUUUCAAAACAUCUUUCUUCAUGUUUUACACUGCACAAAAUUUACCUGAGGGUUAACAAUGAAUCCUGUGUAUUUAUAAUGUGACACUAAUGCACUGUGUGUUUUUACACCUUUCUAGCCAUCACUAUUUGGCCCUUGGCCCAUGUUAAAGGCAUUUGGUUUAGAAUUGACCACAGAUAUCAAAAUAUGUGUUAUAUUAGUAUGUUACUGAAAUCUUCUUUUAAUGAAAUGCUGUCAUGUGAGUAUAAAUAUAUAUCACACCUGCCUUUCUUGAACCCCAUAUGACUGACUCAGAUUACAUUUAUUCUCUGUGUUACAGACUAACUACCAUUCAAAAGUUUGGGGUCAGUAAGACUUUUAGCACUGAAGACUGGAGUAAUUCAGAUUUGAUCACAGAAAUAAAUCACAUUUUAAAAUAUAUUAAAAUGGAGAACAGUUCUUUUAAACUGUAAUAAUAUCACUCGUUUUACUGUAAUUUUUAAACAUAAUAAAAAUGUAUCUGCCCUAUACCUUUGAACAGUUAUGUAUUUAACUCUAAAAUGAACUAAAUAACAAGUUGUUUUCCUAGCACAGAGAGGAAUGCUAUUAAUGGCAAAAUAAAUAACAUAUUUAAAUACAAUACUCAUGUCUGCUUUUGUUGCCAAAUCCAUUACAAAGGAUAAUCUUACAAUUAUAUUGGCCUUUCAGUGGAUCAGCAGGCUUCAGGGCUGAUAUCUGCUCUCAGCAGCUGUUGUGUGAUUAGAGCUUAUGAAAAUAACAAACCUGUUGACAUAAACUAGACAAGUAUGUUGAGCUCAUGUACGUGUGCUAUAGAAAUAGCACUGUCAGUCAGAUUCACUAUAGAAAUCAGUGGAUGCUGUGUACUCUCAUUUUUACUUAAAGCUCACGUGAUAUUGUUCAAAAUUGAAAUUUCAGAUGAAAGUGGUCAUAAAAAUUUUCACUUAGUGGGAAAAGAUAAUACCAAUUAAAUCUGCUGCAAUGUUGCUUUUACAGUAAUUUUUGAGAUACUCAGUCACCAUGUGAUGAGUUUUAAAUGACAACAUAAUGGUAAAAUUAGACAUUUUAAUAAUAAUUGCAGCAAGAUUUUACUAUAAUUUGAAAGGAACACAACAAGAUGAAAGAAGAAAUCACCUAUUUACAGACAACAGGGCAUGAUGCUAUUGCUAACCUAAAGGGAUAGUCCACCCAAAAAAAUGAAAAUUCUGUCAUUAAUUACUCACCCUCAUGUUGUUCCAAACCUGUAAGACCUUCGUUCAUGUUCUGAACACACACUUUGUCUUACCCAUAGACAGCAACUGACACGCUCAAGGCCCAGAAAGGUAGUAAGGACAUCGUUAAAAUAGUCCAUAUGACAUCAGUGGUUCAACUGUAAUAUUAUGAAGCAACGAGAAUACUCUUUGUGCACAGAGAAAACAAAAAUAACCACUUUAUUCAACCAUUUCUUCUCUUCUGUGUCAGUCUUCGAAACUCACAGGCUGUCGUUGUUGCAUCACACCCACAGAGGCCACUCCCACGAUAGUUGAUUGACAUGAGCGUCUUACCUGAGAUCAGUUGUAACAGUCCAACCUCCAUGUUUUGAUGCUGGAGCAGGGAUGUAAGUUAGACAAGAAUUGAGCGAUUGAGGUGUUGUGUUCCUGGAUGUAAUAAUGAACAUAGUGGUUGUCAUUUACUCCCAACAUCUGAGCCGCUGAAGAUGCAGUAGAUUACGUUUGUUUGUGAAGGGAAUGCGGCUCCCGAUCUACAUAUAUCCAUAUAUGUUUGUGCAAAUCAUUCAUGAUCCAGCUUCACUUACAGCAGGAGUGAGUAUAAGGUUUUUUUUUUAAAUAAAUCUUUGCGAUCGCCUUUCCUAAUAAUGUGCUAAACGCACCAAACGCGGCUAAAGUAAACAGGCUCGUCUCUCCACAGAGAGAAGAGAGGGGCGGGGCGAGCAGACCUCAUUUGCAUUUAUAGCAGCCUCGACCAGAAUGGGAUGAUUUUUGCAGAGCUGAUUUUGACAAGUUAAAAAGGGUGUUGUUUUACACAACCAUUGAGAAUUUUUAACCAAAGUAUAUUAUAGACUUUUCGUUAAGACCCUAAAGAAUCAUAUCAACUUGUGGAAAAUGGGCAUCCGAUGACCCCUUUUAAGUACCCCUGAGAGUUUAAAAUACAUGUUUUAAUAAUCAUCACAUUUGCAUGUUCACGGUUCUCUGACAUUGGUUAAUGGUCAUAUGGCUUGCAGGUAAACAUAAAAUAUUUCAUCUUUUUCAGUAAGUCUGUUAUCUUGAUUAUUUUAAAAGGGCUUAUUUUAAG